UAAAGAGAUUUGCCACCUGAUGGAUGAACUAGAUCUUGCUCGUGAGGUCCAAAACGUGUGUGAUAUGGUGGAGCUGCAGAAGGCCAAGGAACGCAAUGAAAGACUGGAUGGUGAGAUUCAUGUGCUAAGGGAUAGAGUUCGCUCCUUGGACACAGAGAGGAGGACUCUUCUUAAACUGGUUGAACAAUCAAAGCUGCAUUCAGAUCAAGCAAUCAAAGUGACAUUAAAGCACAAUAAAAUAAAUUCUACACAGGUACAUAUACAUUACACAAUAUUACAAUCUUCUUCUAAAGGGUUAUAUAUUUGCAUAUGCAUAUAUUAUGUACACAAGUAUUUUAAUAUUUGUAUAAUUUCAUCUGAGAGCACUUACAGAUGUUUUUUUUUUUUUUUGGCAGGGUUUCGGGAAUAA
rnacentral:lncRNA from 1 species